UUUAUUGCGGGAUACUAUGCUUUUGAUCAAAACUAUACAGCUAAUGAAACAAGAAAGAGCUCUGUUUUAUUCACGAAAAACAGAAUAAAUCUGUUUUAUACACAGAAACAAAGUUCCCAGAUAUAAGCAUACAAGCAAACCAACACAAACAUGAACUAAAAUAACCACAACGUAUUCAUGAAUUAAAUAAUUGAACAUAUAUAACUUUGAUAAAAAAAU
rnacentral:lncRNA from 1 species